GCCGCCGUAGCACAAAGGUAGUGCAUUGCCUUCCUAACUUCCUGGAUCAGGCAAAGGCUGUGGGUUCGAGCCCCAUCGGCGGUU